rnacentral:lncRNA from 1 species
CCCCGCCCCCCCGCGCGUGCCGCCCGAUGACGCAGCCGCGCCGCGACGUGGGGAUUCCGCCGGAUUACCCGGCGUGCCCCGCGGCAAAAUGGCGGCCUGAGGCGAGAGCGCGGGGCCGGGGCCGGGCGGGGGCAAAGUUUGGGGCGGGCCCGAGGCGGGGCCGAACCGGCGCCGAACCGGCCGCAAAGUCACUGGGACCCCUGGUGGAGCCGAGCCCGACCGGAUGCAGAGAAGGAACUGGGAUAAAGGGCCUGUAUAAGAUGAAGCAAUGAAUCCUUACUGAAGUGUCAGACAGCAGGAGCUGUUAGCCAGAUGCUGCUGAAUGCUGACAGGAGAAAGCUGAUUCAGAAACAAACGACCAGAAAUGUUUGGACACGUCGUCACUUUGGAUCUGUAAGUCCUUGUUUGAGGGGAAGUUGCCUGGCAGCCCUGUGAGUUUUUGAGUAUCUAUGGAAAUUCUCAGAUCACAAAGGUAGAUUUCAAACCCUGGUAUCUUUUCCAGGUAAGUGGGGAUGACAUGGCAGGUAGCAUAGUUGCUGCCUCUAGGGUAGGAAGCAGGAGAUUUCUGUUUGAGCCUGAGGAACUGUGUGCUGAGAGACCAGGAAACCUUUGGCAUGUUUGUUCUGAGCACAUCUGCAAUGGAAACAUGUGUGGACCCAUGGGUGCAGCUGUUCCUGGAAGCCUCUGUCUGUCUGCCAUG